AGGCGGGUUGUUAACCCGACCCUCAACCCCAGGGGUGAAGAGCUCGAACUGCUCCGGGAUACUGUAUUGCUCCCUGAGCCGUUCGACGUUUACCCCCGAAAGUGAAGAAACCUUCACCUCCGGGGUUGACCGUGAGUCGUCGGUCGGGUUCUCCGACUGACUUCCUCAUGGAGAGGUUCUAGCCAUGACGUUAGCCCCAGAAAGGAGAACAAUAGGAAAUGGCGAAGAAGGAAGGGAGCGAGGAGACAGACAGACAAAACUCCAAGAAGAACUUUUCGAAGGGAGAGCACCAAGAUAGCUAUCUGGAACUGGGGGACAACUCGACAAAGCCUCAGCGCCAGGAGCAGAUUUGCUGCAAAAGUGAAAUUCUGGAUGCAAGUGGCCGCAUAUAUAUAAAGUCCAUCACGGUCGAGAUGAAAGCACAUCAGGCGAGGGCUUCCUGGAUGCCGACACAUGGCGGCACCUGGGCCCUUCCUCGGUCCGACGAUUCGAUGCACCCGCCACC
rnacentral:lncRNA from 1 species